AUACUUACCUGGAUGGGGUCAAUGGGUGAUCAUUAAGGCCCAUGGCCUAGGCUUGUGACCUCCAUUGCACUUAGGAGGGGUGCCUGCCUAAGGUCUCCCUAAAUGAGAGAGCCUACAUCAUAAUUUGUGACAGUGGGGACCUGUGUUCGCGCGGUCCCUC